AACGAACGCUGGCGGCAUGCCUAACACAUGCAAGUCGAACGAGACCUUCGGGUCUAGUGGCGCACGGGUGCGUAACGCGUGGGAACCUGCCCUUAGGUUCGGAAUAACUCCCCGAAAGGGGUGCUAAUACCGGAUAAUGUCUUCGGACCAAAGAUUUAUCGCCCUUGGAUGGGCCCGCGUUGAAUUAGCUAGUUGGUAGGGUAAAAGCCUACCAAGGCGACGAUCCAUAGCUGGUCUGAGAGGAUGAUCAGCCACACUGGGACUGAGACACGGCCCAGACUCCUACGGGAGGCAGCAGUGGGGAAUAUUGGACAAUGGGCGAAAGCCUGAUCCAGCAAUGCCGCGUGAGUGAUGAAGGCCUUAGGGUUGUAAAGCUCUUUUACCCGGGAUGAUAAUGACAGUACCGGGAGAAUAAGCUCCGGCUAACUCCGUG
rnacentral:rRNA from 1 species